rnacentral:rRNA from 1 species
GGAGGAUCCGAGCGUUAUCCGGAUUUAUUGGGUUUAAAGGGAGCGCAGACGGGAGAUUAAGUCAGUUGUGAAAGUUUGCGGCUCAACCGUAAAAUUGCAGUUGAUACUGGUUUCCUUGAGUGCAGUUGAGGCAGGCGGAAUUCGUGGUGUAGCGGUGAAAUGCUUAGAUAUCACGAAGAACCCCGAUUGCGAAGGCAGCUUGCUAAACUGUAACUGACGUUCAUGCUCGAAAGUGUGGGUGUCAAACAGGAUUAGAUACCCUGGUAGUCCACACGGUAAACGAUGAAUACUCGCUGUUUGCGAUAUACAGCAAGCGGCCAAGCGAAAGCGUUAAGUAUUCCACCUGGGGAGU